rnacentral:rRNA from 1 species
UACAGAGGGGGGCGAGCGUUAUUCGGAAUUAUUGGGCGUAAAGGGCGCGUAGGCGGCCUUUCAAGUGACGGGUGAAAUCCCUCGGCUUAACCGAGGAACUGCCUGUCAGACUGGAAGGCUUGAGACCGGGAGAGGUGAGUGGAAUUCCCAGUGUAGCGGUGAAAUGCGUAGAUAUCUGGAGGAAUACCGGUGGCGAAGGCGGCAUCCUGGACCGACAUUGACGCUGAGGAGCGAAAGCUAGGGGAGCAAACGGGG